rnacentral:lncRNA from 1 species
UGGAAGCGCGUGCUCCUUGUGGCUGCCUGCUACAGAAAUCCUGCGCACGGGCCAACUCCUGGUGCUGUUUUUACUUCUAGUAUGAUCUGUGAGGCCACUAUCGAUCGCAUAGUUGAACUAUUAAAGUUGACGAACUCAGGCAAUUAUCUUUCUACUGUUUUGCUUAUUUCUCUUUUACUUCUAUGAAAGUGUCUUUUGAUGUUAAUUUAUUCAUAUGAUUGAUGAAACUCUUAAGAUAUGAAAGUAUUAAUGCUUGCUAGCCUGUAUUUUGCUUAUAGCUCUCAAAAUUUUGCAAGUUAUAUUUGACAAACUAUCAAUAUUGCAUGUGUUCGGUAACCUUUAUAUUUCUCAUUGCUCCUUGAAGUUUCAAACAAAAUUUACUUCAUAUUUGUUUUCUUUAUGAGGGCGUUUUACAUGUUUGCAUUGUGAAAUGCCUUUGAGUCCAUGCCGGAACAUAUGAUUUACUGCAAUGCAAUGCGAUUUUAUUCUAGGGCUUCGUAAAUGUUUGUCUGAACAUGUCGUUGUCCUAAUACGUAGUGUUAUUUUCGGUUCUAAUAUCUAUCUUAUACUGCAGAAAUAAAUUGCUGGCAGGAAUGGCUUGUCUUCUCUGAUAUAUUCUUUUUUCUCAUCAAAAGUGGAUGCAUUGAUUUUGUGGAUUUUGUCGACAAGCUUGUCUCACGACUCACAGGCAGUGAUCAGAAGUUUCUUCGAAC